CCUUAUGUCUUUAAAAAGAGCUUCAAGCCAAUUCUCAAACUCGAAUCUUUGAUCUUCAAAUAAAAUCCUAAUUUAUCUUAGGCAAUCGUUUUAGUAACGAGAGGUUUGAUUUUGACCUUGUUUCACAAACGAUCAGCCCCUGGAUAACAAUCUAAUUUAUUGUCAUGGACACAAAAUACAGACUUGAAAUCUAACAAGAAGUUCAAGAAGAAGUGGCAGAACUAGAUUAAACAGAUGAGUACAAGAACAACACCAGAAAGGUGAGCUAGAACUCCAAGAAAUG
rnacentral:lncRNA from 1 species